UCUCACCACAGGCUGGCUGGUUGCCCUUCAGCCAGGCUCACCCCUUUGAUUAGCACUUCAGUCCCUUGGUGGUGGUAUCUCAGGUGGUCAAGUAUGG